AAAUUGAAGAGUUUGAUCAUGGCUCAGAUUGAACGCUGGCGGCAGGCCUAACACAUGCAAGUCGAACGGUAACAGAAAGCAGCUUGCUGCUUUGCUGACGAGUGGCGGACGGGUGAGUAAUGUCUGGGAAACUGCCUGAUGGAGGGGGAUAACUACUGGAAACGGUAGCUAAUACCGCAUAACGUCGCAAGACCAAAGAGGGGGACCUUCGGGCCUCUUGCCAUCGGAUGUGCCCAGAUGGGAUUAGCUAGUAGGUGGGGUAAAGGCUCACCUAGGCGACGAUCCCUAGCUGGUCUGAGAGGAUGACCAGCCACACUGGAACUGAGACACGGUCCAGACUCCUACGGGAGGCAGCAGUGGGGAAUAUUGCACAAUGGGCGCAAGCCUGAUGCAGCCAUGCCGCGUGUAUGAAGAAGGCCUUCGGGUUGUAAAGUACUUUCAGCGGGGAGGAAGGGAG
rnacentral:rRNA from 1 species